rnacentral:rRNA from 1 species
AGCCUGAUGCAGCGACGCCGCGUGAGGGAUGACGGCCUUCGGGUUGUAAACCUCUUUCAGUAGGGAAGAAGCGAAAGUGACGGUACCUGCAGAAGAAGCGCCGGCUAACUACGUGCCAGCAGCCGCGGUAAUACGUAGGGCGCAAGCGUUAUCCGGAAUUAUUGGGCGUAAAGAGCUCGUAGGCGGUUUGUCGCGUCUGCCGUGAAAGUCCGGGGCUCAACUCCGGAUCUGCGGUGGGUACGGGCAGACUAGAGUGAUGUAGGGGAGACUGGAAUUCCUGGUGUAGCGGUGAAAUGCGCAGAUAUCAGGAGGAACACCGAUGGCGAAGGCAGGUCUCUGGGCAUUAACUGACGCUGAGGAGCGAAAGCAUGGGGAGCGAACAGGAUUAGAUACCCUGGUAGUCCAUGCCGUAAACGUUGGGCACUAGGUGUGGGGGACAUUCCACGUUUUCCGCGCCGUAGCUAACGCAUUAAGUGCCCCGCCUGGGGAGUACGGCCGCAAGGCUAAAACUCAAAGGAAUUGACGGGG